ACUGGCUAGUGUGAACUGGGACACCCAACUGAUCCAGUGGCUUCACACAAAGUUAGUAGAAACCCUCAGUUUGCCAGUGCUGGCUGCUUACUUGGAUGCUCUGCAAACACUUCAAGGAAAGAUUAUGAGAGCAGUGAAAGAGAUCUUACUGUUUCUUAUGACGUUCUCCUUUUACAAAUCUAAUUAAAAGGAAACCGGUGGAGGCCUUAUCCUUUUUCUUUGAAGCGUUGAUGAUGUUUAAAUGCCCCUUGGAAAGCCUGUGUGCAUUUUCUCAGUCCUUUCCUCCUCUGGUUCCAGAUCCCCACUCUGACCGACAGGAUGCUGCUCUCCUCCACCACCAAGACAGGAGCAGCAGGUGCUGAGGCUCUGUCUUUGCUGCUGAAGAGACCUUGGGACCCUGCAGUGGGGGUCUUGUCCCGUAAUAAAACAGUGAGUGCCUCCUGGAGCUUGCAGGGACUGAGAAGCCAUUCUCACUUCCUAAUGCACUCAAACUGGCUUUAUUUUUCUUCUGUUGUCUUCGUUCCAUCUCUUUCUGGCUUCCGGGGCUCUUUUCAUCUUGCUUUAGACUUGCUCAGCGAGGUGCUUCUUCCUAUUGGAGUCAUUUCUCCCCCAUACUGUCUCAGGGUAGAUUUUUGCUGGGGGAAAUUUGCACAUUUAAUGAGCUAUGAAAGGCUCUUCCUGCUUUGUAGUGCUCACCAGGCUGGACUUUGUGUUUACAAAUAGCCAUUUAAAAUCUUCUGUGGAUUAUCAGGGUUGUGCUGAGAGUGCUACUAGUUAGCUCUUCUCAUCCUCCACCCUCUCAGGGUUGUGUGGAUGGAGCUCCCUGGAGGAGCUGCCCUGGCAUUUUCCCAAAAAGGCGGGUGGUGAGGAUUUAGGCUGGGAGGUUGCUUUUGCUUAUUGACCUCUUGUUGAACUUUGUAGAGCAAAUUGCCUGGUUGCCCCCUCAUCCUGAUUGCUUCCUCUGGACCCUCCAACUCCAUGUUCCCCACUUCUUGAUGGCACCAAUUCUGACAGUCACAGCUUUCUUGCUUGGGAAAGGUUUAUGGUUGGUUUAGAAGGGAGGGUAGCUGUGGUAGACUGCAGUUGCUGAGCAUACUUUUCUAAUCCUUUGGUGCCCCAGACUACUAGAUUCUGCUGAAAACAGGCUAACAUCUGCUACCUUCAGUGUUUGGCAGGGCACAAACUGAGAUGGAGCUGCCUAAGUCUGAUGUACUUGGAGUCACACUGGGAGACUUGCUGCCCAAACUGAACUAUUUUCAGCAGUGUAGAUUGUGUCACUUUUAUUACGGAUUGAUGAGUUUUCCAGUAGAAAGAUACUGGAGGAGAGAGGGUAUGGUGGUGGUGGGAGGAGCAUAUGACAAUCUCAGGUGCUGUGCUCUGAGAUGGAUGCUUUCUUUCUACAAGUGCUGCUGGGCAGGAUCUGAGUGUGCUCCAUACAAAAAGAAAUAUAUAGCAAAAAUGUCCUGGGUAAUAAUGCACUCUCAGGGUCAGCAGUCUUGUUCAAAAGCUGAUGUGCCAGAUAGAAGAUACUUUGGUUAAUUUUUCCGUGAUAAAUUUGUGUUGUUUCUGCCAGUGGUACGUAGAAGAUCCAGGGUACAGUAUGGUAUGAUGCUAGAGCAAGUAUCUGCUUUUAUUUUCUUCCACCUUGGCUCUGGAAUAUGCAGCUUAUGGAGGCUGUAAGAGCCUUGCAGGAAGCACGUAAGGUUUCAGUACACUUUGGAGCUUGUUUUCCAGUCACACUUGUGUGUCUGGAAUAACAGCACCAAAAAUUGCAGCAGGUUAUGUGUAUGAGAAUGGGGUUAGCCUGAUGCUGGAGCUGGGCCCAACAGUGCAGACAAGAUUUUGGAGUGUUGUGCAAGUCAGAAAUCUGUAGUGGGAAUACUUAUUAAAGGACAGAAGGAAACGUCGAACUGUGACAUGAGUCUCCAGAUGAAGCUCUGAAGGAAAGAAAAUGUCAUAUUUGCUUGGCAAAAACUUUGGUCAUGGAUUCAGCGAAGCCGGGCUCUUGUUACCAAAGCUUGUCUCAGCAUUUCUGAGGGACAGACCUCGUCUUUCCAUUAGAUGGUGCUCUGAAGUUGAGCACUGACAGAGCCAACUCAUACUUCGCUCUGUAGGAUCGAACUGUGCAAGGAAGUAAGCCUGCUGUCAUGUGAAUUUUACUCUCAAGUGGAAAACAAUGUAGUGAGCAUGAAAGGGGAGAGUCUUUUUUAUUACUAUUAUUUUGUUCAGUAGGAUAAGCAAAGCCGAAAACAAGUCAGAAGGACUGACCGAGAGUAUGGUGGACAGGUGCAUCCAGACUUUUCAUCCUUGUGGCUCCAUCUCAUACAUUACUCACAUUCAUGAGGUAGCUGGAUUCUUGUCUGCUUUCCUGUACCUUGGCUCCAACUCUAAGGCAAUGGAUAACAAUUCUUCACGGGUGCUAGUGGAGGAGGAGGAGGAUUAAAAGGGCACGGAUUAUGGAUCAAGGCUGUUACAUAUUGUGUGUAACAUCAACAACAACAAGAUGCUAGCUUUUGUUCCAGAGAAGGCAUUUUGCAGUGAAGCAAACAAACAGAUCUGCUCAAGAAUUUAUCCUCAAUCUUCAAUGGUGACAGAAAGCACUGAAGGGUAACUGAUAAACCAUCAUGCAGAUGUUUACAGACCUACUGAGAUUUAUGACUGAAGAUUCUUCAACCCUGGAGCUGCAGUGCUUUUGUGAGGAAGAAGCUGACAGGCCAGUGGGAGAUAACCUUCUCGAUUUCUUUUCCUGUCAGCAUAAGCUGGUUUCAGACCUGAUAGUUAACUGCGAAUUACCUUGCUGCAGUUCUUGGGUAGUGCAGUGUUCAGUAAAAUAAAAUGGGUCUUCCUUUUUU